rnacentral:rRNA from 1 species
AGGUUACUGCUAUCGGUGUUCGCCUAAGCCAUGCGAGUCAUAUGUUCUUCGUGAACAUGGCGUACUGCUCAGUAACACGUGGAUAACCUGCCCUUGGGUCCGGCAUAACCCCGGGAAACUGGGGAUAAUUCCGGAUAACGCACAUAUGCUGGAAUGCUUUAUGCGUCAAAUGGAUUCGUCCGCCCAAGGAUGGGUCUGCGGCCUAUCAGGUAGUAGUGGGUGUAAUGCACCUACUAGCCUACGACGGGUACGGGUUGUGAGAGCAAGAGCCCGGAGAUGGAUUCUGAGACAUGAAUCCAGGCCCUACGGGGCGCAGCAGGCGCGAAAACUUUACAAUGCGGGAAACCGUGAUAAGGGGACACCGAGUGCCAGCAUCAUAUGCUGGCUGUCCGGGUGUGUAAAAUACACCUGUUAGCAAGGGCCGGGCAAGACCGGUGCCAGCCGCCGCGGUAACACCGGCGGCCCGAGUGGUGAUCGUGAUUAUUGGGUCUAAAGGGUCCGUAGCCGGUUUGGUCAGUCCUCCGGGAAAUCUGACGGCUUAACCGUUAGGCUUUCGGGGGAUACUGCCAGACUUGGAACCGGGAGAGGUAAGAGGUACUACAGGGGUAGGAGUGAAAUCUUGUAAUCCCUGUGGGACCACCUGUGGCGAAGGCGUCUUACCAGAACGGGUUCGACGGUGAGGGACGAAAGCUGGGGGCACGAACCGGAUUAGAUACCCGGGUAGUCCCAGCCGUAAACGAUGCUCGCUAGGUGUCAGGCAUGGCGCGACCGUGUCUGGUGCCGCAGGGAAGCCGUGAAGCGAGCCACCUGGGAAGUACGGCCGCAAGGCUGAAACUUAA